ensembl:lncRNA
GAACCUGAGACAGCCCUGACUGUGAACCUGAGCCAGCCCUAACUGUGAACCUGAGCCAGCCCUGACUGUGAACCUGAGCCAGCCCUGGCUGUGAACCAGAACUCCCACAAGCGUUGGAUGUUUGCUUUCAAAGUGGCACAUUCAUUUUGACGGCUUCAAUGCUUUGUUGGAGAGCGUUAGUCCACACUCCACACACUGGGCUCUCGGCUCCGCCUCAUUACCUCCGUUUACGAAGCCGUACUUAAUAAAGUCAGGACGGUAUUUGCGCACAAGUUUGGACUUUUGAUGGCACAAAGAAUAUCGACAUCCAUUUGUGCAUCCGGUGAGGGGUAAAUGGGGGACAUUACGGCAAAGAGAAAGAUACCCCAGGUCUAAAUCAGGGUCGCCCCAACCCAACAGAAUCCACAAUCAUUUAUCACUCUGCCAUUUCCUAAAAGGAAUGUCAUUCUGCGGGAAAUCAAAACAAAAUCCCAAACAAGCUUCUUCUCUGGCAAUUUUCAUCCAUUUACUUGUCAGGCUGAGCUUUUAAAGACGCCAGACUUCAGCUGACACUCUUCAGCAGGCAAACAAAUUACAGAGCAACUCUUCAGCUGAGGACACAAAGACAAUCACAGACUCACAUUCACGUUCAUCCUUCAGUCAACAAACGCUGCCUUCGUGGUUGGCCCUUCAGCUGGUAAAUAUGAGCGCACGAGAGGGGGUCUUUUGGUUUAAACGCGGCAGCUAAUGAAUCUUUUACUCACCUCAGAGUGCUCAAACAAGGGACAAGAAGACUGGCAAACUGGUCAAUAAUCAGAUAUAAAAUAUGGCGAAUAACUCUCUUGAAAACCCGGCAAUCUCCUGUGAAAAGAGCAAAGAUAUUGUGUUUAUAACUUUGACGUUUAAUUCAUUUAAUUCAAUUAAUUUUAUUUUGUAUAGACCAAAAUCGCAAAUUACAAAUUUGCCUCAGAGGGCUUUACAGUCUGUACACAUACAACAUCCUCUGUCCAGAAACCCUCCAUCGGCACAGGAACAACUCCCCAAACAAUGAAAAAACCUUCCAAGAGGGAAAAAAAGGGUAGAAACCUUAGUGAGAAGGUCAGAGGAGGGAUCCGUCUCCUGAUGGACAGACUACAAUGGAUGCCAUGUGUACAGAACAAUGUAUAAUACAUGCAAUUACAUGACAUUGUGUUCAUCACCAUGGUUUGUGAUGGAAGAUUUGCACAGACAAUCGGAAAAUCUCUGUGGGUAACAUUUUAUUAACAUUUUAUUAACACAUUAACAUUAAUUAAUUUCUGAAUCAAAUGUCUUUCUCCAUUUAUUUCCUUGCUAGGAGACAAGGGUCACAACAGCUACGUGCUCAGUAGACUGUUACACAUUUUUGUCCCAUCACGUUAUUUUACAUUUAGUUUCUAGGCUCGUCUUAAAGGGAAGAGAAGUUUAAAGCAAGAUUAAAACUAAAGUGAAUGCAAAGAAGCAGGUAAACAUGAUAGAAGUGUUCCUGACUGCCACGCCCACCUGUGUCAGCGGGUCAAAGGUAGCAAAGGAAGCAAAUAGAGGGUAAACUAAAUCGGUCCAAGCCCAGAACCUUCUGGGACUCUGUGACCAACAUUGGUGGUCAUCGCUGAUCGACCAUUUACAAACACCAACUGGAUCGAUCCAAUAAAUACGACUAAAACCAGCUGAGGGCGGUUUGUUUAAUACCAGUCAAAUGUUCUAGUCUCUGCAACAGGAUACAACGAUCAAUUGUGUCAAAUGUGGCACUGAGGUCCAGUAAGACAAGAAAAGAGAUGAGUCCUUGGUCCGAUGAUUGAAACAUGAAAGAAAAAGUCAUUCAAAAAACAACGUUAAAAAACUAAAAAUAGAAUAAAUUCUGCAGUGUAGUUUAAAAGUACCAAAAUACUAAACACAGUAAAUUAAAAGCAGCAUCCAACAGAAGUCUUUAAUCUAGAUUUAAAGGAGCCGAGGGACUCCGAAAAGUACAGCGAGAACAAAGUGAUGUUAAUAUAUUUUAAUGCUGUGUUUAUGAAUACACAUCCAAGUUUGCCGAUCUUUGUUCUCUAUUUGUGUUUGAAGCAGAACAGGAGGAGAUCCUUUGUUCUUCUGAAGGGUUGGAAGAUUCUAUGAUAUAAAUAGCUCUUACCCACAGACGUUUGUCAUGGACAACUUGAUCUCCAGUUGUGAAUACUGAAGGUCACAAUAAUCUCACUUUUGUAGGACACCCGAGGAGUUGAAAGCUCCUGCUGAAGUCACUCUGGAGACUGAAGAUGACUUCCUCAUCAUCGUCCUCUUCCUCUCUCGUCACAUCUGAGUCUUCACAGGUAACUCUCUUCUGUUCCUUCUUCCUUAUUUGAGUCUUUUUUUAAUGAAGUAGAGCGUUGCUUCUCUUACAGCUGGACCUCCGUACUGGAGAAGCAUCUGGAAACUCUAACAAACACCUGUCACUAAAAGCAGUAAAGCACAGAGUGGGAAAGCAACUAAAUGAAGCUUAGGCGAAAAAACGGUUCUCCUCUCUUGUGCCGUCAGUUGUCAUUUCAGCUCGCUCCAAAGGUGACCCGCCACCACCCCCAAAGGUGACCCGCCACCACCGCCAAAGGUGACCCGCCACCACCCCCAAAGGUGACCCGUCACCACCGCCAAAGGUGACCCGCCACCACCCCCAAAGGUGACCCGCCACCACCCCCAAAGGUGACCCGCCACCACCCCCAAAGGUGACCCGCCACCACCGGCAAAGGUCACCCGCCACCACCCCGGACACCUCCAGUCUACAGCAGAACCUGGCGUAGCAGGAGAAUUAUGCAACGUGGGCUCUACCACCACCACCAGUGUCUGGACUCCCAAGGGGGGGAUGUGCCUCGUCUCGGCUCGAGAUCCCGGCCCCGGCUCUAUUCUGCGGCAGGAUGGAGUCCAAGCCCCAAACAACUUGCAAUAUCAUAUUAUACCUGUUAUAAUAAAGCAUUAUUCAAAUUUCAACAAGUCUCUCCGGAUUGAAUUACAUUUACUCAAAGGAGGACCAUUAUGAUGUACUCUUCUGUUUUCAGCUUCCUCCUGCCAGACAUAACAAGACAAAAUGAUGUCAAAAAGACUGUAAUUACAACAACAGGAUGUCCUGAAAACUGUGACAAAAACAACAAGAUGUUCACCAGACUGUGAUGAAGACAGAGCGUUCUUGAGAGAGGAGGAUGUGCCCUCAGGAUGAAGACCAUCGGGUGUCAGGGUAUUCAAUUGUAUAUUACUAAAGCUCGCUCAAUCACACACGCACCCCGCGCACACACACACACACACACACACACGCACACGCACACGCACACACGCACACACACACACACAUGCACACCCCCCGCGCACACACACGCACGCACACACGCACACACAUGCACACCCCCCGCGCACACACACACACGCACCCAUGCACGCACCCACACACACACGCACACACACACACCACCCCGCACGCACCCACACACACACGCACACACACACACCACCCCGCACACACACACACGCACACACACACACACACACGCACCCAUGCACGCACCCCGCGCGCACACACACACGCAUGCACCCCGCGCGCACACAUACACACACACACACGCACCCAUGCACGCACCCCGCGCGCACACACACACCCCCGCCCCCCCCCCUUUUACAUACACACAAACAGACGCACCCCAGGCCCUUUCGACCUCACCAUUCACAGAUGAAAGGAAACAGGUUUAAUUGUUUCAUGUGUAAUUCUUUUGGUUGCAGAACAAAAACAGCUCAUGUUCUUUUGAGGAUUCAUGUUUUCAGUCAGCAAUGUUCCCUUUAGCAUUAUAUUGUAUAAAAAAAUAUUCCUAUCUUUAUAUGUAUAGAGGUUAUAUAUCUGUAUACUAUAACACGGGUAGAUGCAAUCCAGUGUUCUGAUUGGUUGAGAGUGAGUCAUGGGGGCUCUAUAAUUGGGCGAUAAUGUACAGUACCUGUUCACAUUGACCGAACGUUCCACAUCACUGCGCACUCAAAGUAACAGGUUAGCUUUCGCGCGACUGAUUGACAUUUUAGCUUUUAGCUCGGUGCCGAUCGCAGAAAAAAGACCGAAAAAAGUCCCACAAAUGAUCAGUUUCAGGCAAUGCGAACUUUUGCAACCGGACAAUUAAGGUGGACGUCAUCGAAUGAACCCAAUGCGGUUUACAUGCACGUACAGGGAGUAUUUUUCUGUAGACUACUGAAAUGAGAUACACAAUGUUUGGUGGCUACAACUAUUUUGUGCUAAAAGGCAACUAUUUACUUAAUAUUUAUAAUUUCGCUGGUACCGUAUUAUAAAGGCAACUUAUUGCUUAAAUCUACAGAGGUUAUAUAUCUGUAUAUCUAUAGAGGUUAUAUAUCUUUAUACCUACAAAUGUCAUAUGUAUACCUACAAAGGUUAUAUAUCGGUAAGGUUGUAUGUCGUUAUGUCACAAAGUUGAUCGCACUUUUUUUUCAUCUUACCUGCAUGUUUUCUUACUCUUGUCAUUUCAGAUCAUCCCACAUUAUGAGCUCAUUACGCACACCUGGUUCUCACCUGCAGCACAUCCACUCAU